GACGAACGCUGGCGGCGUGCUUAACACAUGCAAGUCGAACGGAAAGGCCCUGCUUUUGUGGGGUGCUCGAGUGGCGAACGGGUGAGUAACACGUGAGUAACCUGCCCCUGACUUUGGGAUAACUUCAGGAAACUGGGGCUAAUACCGGAUAGGAGCUCCUGCUGCAUGGUGGGGGUUGGAAAGUUUCGGCGGUUGGGGAUGGACUCGCGGCUUAUCAGCUUGUUGGUGGGGUAGUGGCUUACCAAGGCUUUGACGGGUAGCCGGCCUGAGAGGGUGACCGGCCACAUUGGGACUGAGGUACGGCCCAGACUCCUACGGGAGGCAGCAGUGGGGAAUAUUGCACAAUGGGCGGAAGCCUGAUGCAGCAACGCCGCGUGCGGGAUGACGGCCUUCGGGUUGUAAACCGCUUUCGCCUGUGACGAAGCGUGAGUGACGGUAAUGGGUAAAGAAGCACCGGCUAACUACGUG
rnacentral:rRNA from 1 species